UACGGAGGGGGCUAGCGUUGUUCGGAAUUACUGGGCGUAAAGCGCACGCAGGCGGCUUUGUAAGUUAGAGGUGAAAGCCCGGGGCUCAACUCCGGAAUUGCCUUUAAGACUGCAUCGCUAGAAUUGUGGAGAGGUAAGUGGAAUUCCGAGUGUAGAGGUGAAAUUCGUAGAUAUUCGGAAGAACACCAGUGGCGAAGGCGGACUUACUGGACACAUAUUGACGCUGAGGUGCGAAAGCGUGGGGAGCAAACAGG
rnacentral:rRNA from 1 species